AAGCAGCAGAGCCAGAACUCAGCCUCAGGAAUCAGAUCACCGCCAGGACUCUUGGCCACUCCAUGGACUCACUGUUGCUUUAACCAAGGAGGUCUGCAUGGCGGCUGGUGAAGUAGCCUCAGCAGAAAGACUGGCUCCACCGUGGGCUUGGGCACCAGAGCCUCGUGAUGCAGGAUGGCGUGUGGGCUUAGAGCUGGACCACAGGUUAAAUCUAAGUUCUCCUAGCCUGCUGCAGGACUUCAGAAUAAGUUUUUUUUUUUUUUUUAACCUCUUUUGAGCCUUGGCUUCCUCUUACAUAAAUUGAGAUGUUGGUGAUAAAAGUAGCUAGACUUGGGGUGUUUGUCUGUAUGUCUUUGUGUCUGUCUGUCUGUCUGUCUGUCUGUCUGUCUGUCAGUCUCUCACCCUUUAAAUAUUAACAGGCACUGAUGGGUGAGGAUGAUGUGGGGGAGUACUGAUCAUCAUUAAUGAGUGAUUUAACAUCUGCAAUGCACAAGCAUUUCGCUGAGCACCUCACACGCAUCUCAGUCUUCGUGACAUCAGCGUCAUGCGGGGACUGCUAUCUCCCCCUUUGAAAGAUGAGAAAACUGAGGCUCAAACCUCCCAAGUCAACAGAAGGCCAUGGAGCAAGAUCCGGAGCUGGGAUCUCAGCGCUGGUGCAUGGUUGUGCUGACUUUGAGGAGAACUUUGAAGUCUGGCAGUGAAAAAGGAAGGAUUUCCAGCCAGUGGCUUUGUGGUAGCAGUCCUUGUGGAGGACAGCUUGGGUACCCCAGAGGAAACACCUCCUUUGCCCUACGUAUAUUUCCAUAUACAAGAAACAAAACAACAACCCAAGCCUGAGGUUAUGUGCUUCCUAAAUGUUGGCAGUGACAGCUGCACAAUGAUGUCAUGGAGAGAUCCUAGCAGCAUUCUUUCUGGGACUCUAAGGUCUGCAGGCCAAGCUCCUGAAUCCCCGUGCUCCAGCUUUCAUCACAGCCACACUGGUUGCUGAAGAUCCUUAAUGAUCCCUGAGAUUUUUUUUUUUUUUAUUUCCAAGACUUAGAAAAUAGUACAACUCCUACAGAAGGCCUAACACUCACAAUUAAUAUUGGAGGACUAAGAAGACUCUAGAAUUCUGUGCCUUCAUCAUUGAGGACUGCAAAAGCAGACAGUGGCGAUUUCACUAACAUUUAUCUGUUCCCUCUGACUGGGUGUGGUGCUAGUGAGCAGGGAAAACAGAGGUCAAGGGGCAGUGCCCUGGAGCUCAGGAGGAGAGGCCCGGGUGGGGGCAUUAUCCCCGGCUGGUGUGCAGGGCUGAGUGUUCCCACCCACCACUGCAGGACCGUGUAUCUGUACAGCUUUCUCAGAGAGUAAAUGUUAAUUAACUCAUGCACCCCCUUUAAAGUUAUUUUAUAUAUAUGGGUGUUUUCCCUGCAUACAUAUCUGUGCACUGUAUGUGUGCCCCAUGUCCGUAGAGGCCAAACGAGGAUGUCAGAUCCCCUGGAACUGGAGUAACAGAUGGUUGUGAGCUGUCAUGUGGGUGCUGGGAAACCCAGGUCCUUUGGAAGAGCAGUCAGUGCUCUUAGCCACUGAGCCAUCUGUCCAGCCCCAGCAAAUACACCCCUUAAUCCAGUGAUUCCAAAGGUGACCUUCAAAAAGUGCUUCUCCUGAACCAACAAGAGGGCUUUGUGGGAAAAGGUGCUUGCGGCCAAGCUUGAAGACUUGAAUUUGAACUCUGAGACUCACACAUUAGAAAGAGAAGACUUACUCUUGAUCUACACACAGGUACACACAGUAAAUAAGUACAUAGGUGAAUAAAUGCCAUGAAAACU
rnacentral:lncRNA from 1 species